AACUUGGAUGUAAGGGCGGCCCUGGUGUGGGAGGCGGCGUGGCCUCGGCAGAAGGACCAGACGGAGUCCAGUGUGGAAGGGAGCAAGAAGGAAGGGACAAUUUUUCGGGUCGAUUAUUGUUGUUCUGGGUUGAUUACCACAUCAACUAAGUUGUGUUCUUUUUAAGCUCUCGAUCUGGAGCUGUACAUGCCCAGGAUGGUCUUGACGGCGCUGCUGCUACUGGCUUGGUACAGACAUCUCGUCAUCCCUGCUGUCUGCGCUCCUCAACUGAAUGUCGGCGUGGACGCCGGCGCAUUCCCGAGGGUGCAUUUGAGCAGCGACGGUCAUCUUGCUAAUGAUCUACCAUGAGGAUUUCACCUAGGGGAAGAGACCAUGGGAAGCAAGGGGAAAGUUUGGAAGUUGGUAAGUCAUUUACCAUAGCUCUCAACCAUGGCCUGGUAAUAGUCUUCUUGUUAUCUUUUUAUUUUCCAAUGAAAACCUGCAGGGGACGAUAAUAGUGGGAAAUUGUAAGUGUGUUUUGUUUACAGGCAUUGACAUGCAUAUCUUAUUUAAACCUUGAGGCUCUAAAGUCCUAAUAAGCAUAUCUUAUUUAAACCUUGAGGCUCUAGCAUU